rnacentral:miRNA from 1 species
AGGUUGGUGCAAAAGUAAUUGUGGUUUUUGCCUUUACUUUAAUGGCAAAAACUGCAAUUACUUUUGCACAAACCUAA